UGAUUCUGGCUCAGAACGAACGCUGGCGGCGUGGAUAAGACAUGCAAGUCGAACGGGAUCAUUGAUGUAGCAAUACAGCGAUGGUCUAGUGGCGAACGGGUGCGUAACACGUGGAUACAUUCCGGGAAGCGGGGGAUAGCCCAGGGAAACUUGGAUUAAUACCGCAUGUGAUCGAGAGAUCAAAGACGGGGACCGCAAGGCCUGUCACUUCCCGAUUGGUCCGCGGCCUAUCAGCUAGUUGGCGGGGUAACGGCCCACCAAGGCGACGACGGGUAGCUGGUCUGAGAGGACGACCAGCCACACUGGAACUGAGACACGGUCCAGACACCUACGGGUGGCAGCAGUCGAGAAUCUUUCACAAUGGGGGCAACCCUGAUGGAGCGACGCCGCGUGGAGGAUUAAGGUCUUCGGAUUGUAAACUCCUGUCAUGCGAGAGCAAAGCCCGCGAGGGUCUGAUAGUAUCGCAAGAGGAAGAGACGGCUAACUCUGUGCCAGCAGCCGCGGUAAUACAGAGGUCUCAAGCGUUGUUCGGAAUCACUGGGCGUAAAGGGUGCGCAGGUGGUCAUGUAAGUCAAAUGUGAAAGACUGGGGCUCAACCUCAGAUUUGCAUGUGAUACUGCGUGACUUGAGAACUGAAGAGGGAUCUUGAAUUCACGGUGUAGCAGUGAAAUGCGUAGAUAUCGUGAGGAACACCAAAGGCGAAAGCAGGAUCCUGGUCAGCUUCUGACACUCAUGCACGAAGGCUAGGGGAGCAAACGGGAUUAGAUACCCCGGUAGUCCUAGCAGUAAACGGUGCAUGCUUGGUAUGGGAAUUUA
rnacentral:rRNA from 1 species